rnacentral:rRNA from 1 species
ACGAAGGGGGCUAGCGUUGUUCGGAAUUACUGGGCGUAAAGCGCACGUAGGCGGAUAUUUAAGUCAGGGGUGAAAUCCCGGGGCUCAACCCCGGAACUGCCUUUGAUACUGGGUAUCUCGAGUCCGAGAGAGGUGAGUGGAAUUCCGAGUGUAGAGGUGAAAUGCGUAGAUAUUGGGAGGAACACCAGUGGCGAAGGCGGCUCACUGGACCGGUUCUGACGCUGAUGCGCGAAAGCGUGGGGAGCAAACGGGA